rfam:Treaplasma diversum strain ATCC 49782 genome.
GGGGGUGUCACGGUUUCGACGGGACAUGGCGGUUAUAGUUGCAAGUGGGGUCUGCCCCUUAUAGCUUCGAGGCAUAAUAAAUGCUAAAAAUACAAAAACUAAUGAAGCAUCUCUAAACCCAGUGUUUAUGGCUUCAGCUAUUAACAAUCAAGCUCAAUACGCUUACGCUUUUUAGUUAGAUUUUAAUAGUUUACUCUUCACUUAGUUAUCGCUAUUAGUGACUAUUUGAGGAUCAUCGUAUAAUAGCUUUAUUUAUUUGGUUUUUUAUUGGUUAACAAUUAAGUAAAUAUUUAUAACUAAUAGCUUAUUAUUAUAGGUUGUUUUAUUACUUGAUAAUAAGCUAAUUGAAUAAAACUAAACUUGUAGACGCUAUAGUUUAAGUGUUGCGGAAAGGGGUUCGACUCCCCUCAUCUCCACCA